CGUAGCUAUGUUGCUUGUUUUUGCCAACAAACAAGAUCUCCCCAUUCCCCAAUGCAAUGAAUGCUGCUGAAAUUACUGGUAAGCUUGGCCUCCACUCUCUCCAACAACGUCACUAGUAACUUCAUGAGCUUCAUGACCCCUCCGCUUCUGUCAUUCAUUCAAUCUUCAUUACUCUAAUAUGUGUCAUUUGUCUUUACAAAUACAUCGAGAACACUCGUGCAACCUCUGGAGAGGGUCUAUAUGAAGGCCUGGAUUGGCUCUCCAACAACAUUGCUAACAAGGCUUGAUCCCUAUUUGGGAGUCAUUUCGAGGACUAGCAAUUCUGGAUGCAUAAAUGAAUAUUAUCUAGUUUGUUUUAGUGAAUAUGUGGAAAGCUAGAAUGCAGUUUUAUGUAGAUUAGGAUCAACAGGUAUUGUUAUUAUAAUAAUUGAAGUGAUUUAUUAACUUUCAGUGAAGUGAUCUUAUCUUUCUUC